AACGCGAAGAACCUUACCAGGAUUUGACAUGCCCUCUGUGAGCUCCCGAAAAGGAGCUCUUCAUUUAGUUGGGAGGUGCACAGGUGCUGCAUGGCUGUCGUCAGCUCGUGUCGUGAGAUGUUGGGUUAAGUCCCGCAACGAGCGCAACCCUCGUCUUCUGUUGCUAACAGGUUAGGCUGAGCACUCUGAAGAAACUGCCGGUGAUAAGCCGGAGGAAGGUGGGGAUGACGUCAAGUCCUCAUGGCCCUUACAUCCUGGGCUACACACGUGUUACAAUGGUGGUGACAAUGAGUCGCGAUCCCGCAAGGGCUAGCUAAUCUCAAAAAGCCACCUCAGUUUGGAUUGUACUCUGCAACUCGAGUACAUGAAAUUGGAAUCGCUAGUAAUCGCGGAUCAGCACGCCGCGGUGAAUACGUUCCCGGGCCUUGUACACACCGACAUA
rnacentral:rRNA from 1 species